UGCACAAGUUAGCCCCCUACAACAAAGAAUUUCUAUCUGGUCCAGAUGUCCAUAAUGGCAAGGUUGUGAAACCCUGUGCUAGCUAGAGGAGCCCUCUCUGUCCAAAGGUCCACUGGCCUUCAAAUGUUCUUUCCUUUAAAAUGUAGUAACAGUUCUUCCCUUAUCAAACUUGUUGGCCAGGUGCAUACUUCCUCCUCCCUCCCUCACUGCUUUGUGUCUCCCCAAAGCCAGGUACAUGAUCAAAGAGGAUGACCUUCCCUGUGUGAGGAAGGUCAAUUUUUUGUGUGGGUAGGAGAACCUCUUAAAAUAAGUGUCUUACAAGGUCAGUUUUAAAAGUGCCCUUUCCUUUCUUUCUAAGAGACAAAUCAGUCCCAACCAAGGGGAACAAGGAAAGGAGGAGACAGGCUGUAUUUACUGAAAGCCGCAGAGGAUGCUUGUGUGGAGGACAUUCAACAAAUAAAUACUUGUUGAGUAAAUGAAGAGGAACUUACUUAAAACCAUCUACACCCCUGAGCAGAUUUAAUGAAGGCAUCGGAACAGCAGGCUGUGUUGAAAAGUGAGUAAAGAUGUUGACAGUAAAGGAAAAGAGAGGAGAUGACAGCCUAAGGAGAUAAGAAAACUGAGGUUCACAGUUAUGCAAGUGACAAGACUGGCCCCAGAUCUAUCUAAUAAAGAAGAAUAAGGGCACAGAAGGUACAUGACUGCUGCUCAAAGAGCUCACAGUCUAGAAAGACAUGAAAUAAAUGAACAACUACAGAAAACAGGAAGCCAAGAAGGAGCAAGGAAAUAAUAAUCCAACACCACGACCAACACUUCUUUCUUUGGGGGAAAAGGUUGAUCUUUUCUACAGAAGUGGGAAAUCAUUUUGUGAUCCAGGAAAGUAAAUCUGUCAUAAGCCAACAGCAAA